AUUGAACGCUGGCGGCAUGCCUUACACAUGCAAGUCGAACGGUAACAGGUCUUCGGAUGCUGACGAGUGGCGAACGGGUGAGUAAUACAUCGGAACGUGCCUAGUAGUGGGGGAUAACUACUCGAAAGAGUGGCUAAUACCGCAUGAGAUCUACGGAUGAAAGCAGGGGAUCGCAAGACCUUGUGCUACUAGAGCGGCCGAUGGCAGAUUAGGUAGUUGGUGGGAUAAAAGCUUACCAAGCCGACGAUCUGUAGCUGGUCUGAGAGGACGAUCAGCCACACUGGGCGUGAGACACGGCCCAGACUCCUACGGGAGGCAGCAGUGGGGAAUUUUGGACAAUGGGCGCAAGCCUGAUCCAGCAAUGCCGCGUGCAGGAUGAAGGCCUUCGGGUUGUAAACUGCUUUUGUACGGAACGAAAAGCCCUGGGUUAAUACCCUGGGGUCAUGACGGUACCGUAAGAAUAAGCACCGGCUAACUACGUGCCAGCCGCCGCAGUAACAC
rnacentral:rRNA from 1 species